GAUGAACGCUGGCGGCGUGCUUAACACAUGCAAGUCGAACGGAAAGGCACUGCGUUUGUGGGGUGCUCGAGUGGCGAACGGGUGAGUAACACGUGAGUAACCUGCCCUUGACUUUGGGAUAACUUCAGGAAACUGGGGCUAAUACCGGAUAGGAGCUCCUGCUGCAUGGGGGGGGUUGGAAAGUUUCGGCGGUUGGGGAUGGACUCGCGGCUUAUCAGCUUGUUGGUGGGGUAGUGGCUUACCAAGGCUUUGACGGGUAGCCGGCCUGAGAGGGUGACCGGCGACAUUGGGACUGAGGUACGGCGCAGAGUCCUACGGGAGGCAACAGGGGGAAAUAUUGCACAGUGGGCGGAAGCCUGAGGCAGCAACGCCGCGGGCGGGAUGACGGCCUUCGGGUUGUAAACCGCUUUCGCCUGUGACGAAGCGUGAGUGACGGUAAUGGGUAAAGAAGCACCGGCUAACUACGUG
rnacentral:rRNA from 1 species